rnacentral:rRNA from 1 species
GCCCGCUACAGAAACUUAAAGGAAAGUUGACGGGGCCCGGCACAAGCGGUGGAGUAUGUGGUUUAAUUCGAUGCAACGCGAAGAACUUACCUGGUCUUGACAUCCCGGAGACCCUUAGGAAACUAGGGGGUGCUUCCAUCUGGAAGAAUCUGGAGACAGGUGCUGCAUGGCUGUCGUCAGCUCGUGUCGUGAGAUGUUGGGUUAAGUCCCGCAACGAGCGCAACCCUUGCCUUUAGUUGCCAGCAGUUCGGCUGGGCACUCUAAAGGGACUGCCGGUGUUAAACCGGAGGAAGGUGGGGAUGACGUCAAGUCCUCAUGGCCUUUAUGACCAGGGCUACACACGUACUACAAUGGCCGAUACAAAGGGCAGCGACACUGCGAGGUGAAGCCAAUCCCGUAAAAUCGGUCUCAGUCCGGAUUGGAGUCUGCAACUCGACUCCAUGAAGUUGGAAUCGCUAGUAAUCGUGGAUCAGCAUGCCACGGUGAAUACGUUCCCGGGCCUU